CGCGAUUCGCCCUUCGGGGUGCAGCAGGCGCGAAAACUUUGCAAUAAGCGAAAGCUUGACAGGGCUAUCCCGAGUGCCAUCCGCUGAGGAAGGCUUUUACCCAGUCUAGAACGCUGGGGGAAUAAGGAGAGGGCAAGUCUGGUGUCAGCCGCCGCGGUAAUACCAGCUCUCCGAGUGGUGUGGAUGUUUAUUGGGCCUAAAGCAUCCGUAGCUGGCUGAGUUAGUCCCUUGUUAAAUCCACCAAAUUAAUUGUUGGAUUGCGGGGGAUACUGCUUGGCUAUGGGACCAGAGAGGCAUACGGUAUUUUCGGGGUAGGGGUGAAAUCCUAUAAUCCCGGGAAGACCACCAGUGGCGAAGGCUGUCUGCUAGAACGCGCCCGACAGUGAGGGAUGAAAGCUGGGGGAGCGAACCGGAUUAUAUACCCGGGUAGUCCCAGCUGUAAACGAUGCACACUAGGUGUUUGGACGGCCACGUGCCGUUCUAGUGCCGCAGGGAAGCUGUUAAGUCUGCCGCCUGGGGAGUACGAUCGCAUGAUUGAAACUUAAAGGAAUUGGCGGGGGAGCAC
rnacentral:rRNA from 1 species